rfam:Algibacter lectus DNA, contig: contig00025, strain: JCM 19300.
GAUUGGCCAGCGUUAGGGAUUGAUGCGGCAUCCUUUUUUGGUGUUUUAAAACCAAUGCUUACUUUAAAAAUAAGGUUUCUUUUUAAGUUAACAAUUGUUCAUGGAAACCAAACGCCAAAAAAGAUAUAGCGGAAAGCCCGACCCUUG